AUAUUCGUGAGAUUUACUGAGGCGAUGAUGAUUGAAUUCACAUUGUGAAUUCACUUUCUUAAAUUGGUAAACAAACAUGGGAUAUUUUUCUCUCCGUGACUGAGGCAAAAUGGUAUAAAAGUAAGGUGAAGCCAAAUCUGUAUCUGGAUUUUCGACCAACAACCGACGUACGUACAGAUCGUCGCAUCGCUUCGCAGCAACGAAAAUUGGCUACUCAACCGCUUCCUGUGCUUCUUAGAAUUCAGAAUGUCUACAAUGGGAGACUCGGGUAGGAGAUCUGUCAAAUGGGAUGAGGCAAAACUAUCAGAAAUUGAAGCAAACAAACCCGUAAGACAGAAAAUUACCGAACCAAAGACUCCAUAUCAUCAUAUGACUGAUGUUGAUGUUUUUUUAGGCAUUAGAUUGGAUGUGGCAAAUCUUGUCUUGAAUAUACCAUAGGAAAAGGGACAGGUCAAAAGGGUUGGAUCUUUAUCUCCUGUACGGAGUCCUUUCGCUGAAAGAGACGAUGAAACUGUGCGGUCCGUGUUCAACGAUAUGGUUUCUUCCGAUAACUCACAGCAACCCUCUGGCUGGACAUCAUCAGAGGAUGAGCCAGAUGCUAUGGAUGAAGACAGUGAAGGCAGGAGCUCAAGUUUCAAGGAGCAGAGACGGGCUCACUAUGACGAAUUCCAUAAAGUAAGAGAACUCAGGCGAAAGGAGUCCUUUGAUGAACCGUGCAACGAUGACGAUGAGAAAUUGAAUGGGGAAUGUGAUACAUCGUCGUCAUUGGCUGUUGGUGUGGAAGAUAUCGACAUUACUGACGCCGAAGAUCUUGUUGAACCUCAACCACAAACAUCUUCAUCUUCUGCCUAAGUUUUAAACUCGCUGGUAAAAUUUUCUUCCUGUUUUAAGUUCCAAACUUUCGUUGUAAACCGUACUUUGUGUUUAUGUUCAUGGUUUUUAUUUGUUUUGCUAGACGAUACAGUUUUGUUCAUCAUGUAUUUCAAGAGCAAGUAAAGUUAGUGUUUUUGUGUGUGGUUUUUUUGA